rnacentral:lncRNA from 1 species
UUACGGCGAUUGCUCUUUCUGUCUUGCAAAGACAAAUGUCUAACGGUAGAGAGAAUAACAGUAACUCAAAUGGAUUUUCUUGAACGGGUUCUAACAGAUUUUUGGUUGAUUUUAUUAGUUUUGAUACUUAGGUCCUUUCAAAAAGAAAUUUAGGUCCUUUCAAAAAGAAAUUUUCAUGUCACUUCUGCUUUGAGUAGGGAUAUGUGUUUGAUAUUACAUUGGAAGGACUGAUACAUUUACCAGGUGUACCAAGUGAUUCUCAAGACCAAUGCUGAUAUCCUUGUUCUGCCGUUACAUUUUUAUCGGUGCUUUCUGUCUAAAUUCUUAUGUGAUCAUG